GAUGAACGCUGGCGGCGUGCCUAAUACAUGCAAGUCGAGCGAACAGACGAGGAGCUUGCUCCUCUGACGUUAGCGGCGGACGGGUGAGUAACACGUGGAUAACCUACCUAUAAGACUGGGAUAACUUCGGGAAACCGGAGCUAAUACCGGAUAAUAUAUUGAACCGCAUGGUUCAAUAGUGAAAGACGGUUUUGCUGUCACUUAUAGAUGGAUCCGCGCCACAUUAGCUAGUUGGUAAGGUAACGGCUUACCAAGGCGACGAUGCGUAGCCGACCUGAGAGGGUGAUCGGCCACACUGGAACUGAGACACGGUCCAGACUCCUACGGGAGGCAGCAGUAGGGAAUCUUCCGCAAUGGGCGAAAGCCUGACGGAGCAACGCCGCGUGAGUGAUGAAGGUCUUCGGAUCGUAAAACUCUGUUAUUAGGGAAGAACAAAUGUGUAAGUAACUAUGCACGUCUUGACGGUACCUAAUCAGAAAGCCGCGGCUAACUACGUG
rnacentral:rRNA from 1 species